rnacentral:rRNA from 1 species
UAAGGAAUAUUGGUCAAUGGGCGCAAGCCUGAACCAGCCAUGCCGCGUGCAGGAUGACGGCCCUAUGGGUUGUAAACUGCUUUUGUACGGGAAAAAACCCCUGAUCGUGAUCGGGGCUGAUGGUACCGUAAGAAUAAGGAUCGGCUAACUCCGUGCCAGCAGCCGCGGUAAUACGGAGGAUCCAAGCGUUAUCCGGAUUUAUUGGGUUUAAAGGGUGCGUAGGCGGCUUAUUAAGUCAGUGGUGAAAGCCUGGGGCUUAACUCCAGAACUGCCAUUGAUACUGAUGAGCUUGAGUACAGUUGAGGUGGGCGGAAUGUGUCAUGUAGCGGUGAAAUGCUUAGAUAUGACACAGAACACCAAUUGCGAAGGCAGCUCGCUAAACUGUAACUGACGCUGAGGCACGAAAGCGUGGGUAGCAAACAGGAUUAGAUACCCCCGUAGUCC